UACAGAAGUAACAAGCGUUGUUCGGAAUUACUGGGCGUAAAGGGCGCGUAGGCGGUUCGUUAAGUCCUGUGUGAAAUCCCCCGGCUCAACUGGGGAACUGCACAGGAAACUAGCGGGCUUGAGUUCGGGAGAGGGAAGCGGAAUUCCGGGUGUAGCGGUGAAAUGCGUAGAUAUCCGGAGGAACACCGGUGGCGAAGGCGGCUUCCUGGACCGACACUGACGCUGAGGCGCGAAAGCUAGGGGAGCAAACGGG
rnacentral:rRNA from 1 species